GAUUUGUAUAAGAGACCAUCAAGUGUAGUAUCUGUUCUUAUCAGUUUAAUAUCUGAUACGUCCUCUAUCCGAGGACAAUAUAUUAAAUGGAUUUUUGGAAUUAGGAGAUGGAAUAGGAGCUUGCUCCGUCCACUCCACGCAUCGACCUGGUAUUGCAGUACUUCCAGGAACGGUGCACCCCCUUUUGGGGGAACAAUAA